UACGUAGGGUGCAAGCGUUGUCCGGAAUUAUUGGGCGUAAAGAGCUCGUAGGCGGUUUGUUGCGUCGGCUGUGAAAUCCCGAGGCUCAACCUCGGGUCUGCAGUCGAUACGAGCAAACUAGAGUGUUGCAGGGGAGACUGGAAUUCCUGGUGUAGCGGUGAAAUGCGCAGAUAUCAGGAGGAACACCGGUGGCGAAGGCGGUUCUCUGGACCUUACCUGACACUGAGGAGCGAAAGCGUGGGGAGCGAACAGG
rnacentral:rRNA from 1 species